GCCCCCAUGGUGUAGUCCGGUCAAUCAUCCAGCCUUUUCGAGGCUGGGACAUGGGUUCAAAGCAUCUCUCCGCAGGAGCCUGCGGGAAUGGUGAAAGUCCCGUUGGGGGCA
rnacentral:tRNA from 1 species